GAGAGGAGGGGUGGUUGGACGUGGACGAUCACUUCAAUGAUGCGCCAGUUGGGUCACCAAAGGGGUAGGGCGAGCCGGCCGAGAGGAGAGGUGGCCGCGGUAGCGAAGCGGCGGCGGGGUAGGACGACCUGGCGCAGUGGAGAGCGGCAGGCAGCGUUCUCCGCGUCACUACGAUCCCGGAGGGCUGCCCAGCGAAAACUGGCUCCAGCGGUACCUUCCACUCUUCGUCGGCGUUGGCCGCCACCGUCUGAGGAGGCGGUGGCAUAGGUUCCACGAGCUGCUACUGUUGGAGGAGCAACUCUAGGAAGAGGCACAAUCGAAGGGGUUGUGGGAGUAGGCACGGCGGGACCAGACGUCUGCGACCGAUACGGUGCAGAGACUGUUCCGGAAGGAACCGGCCAAGGCAUUUGACGUGGGGGGAGCGGACGAGCCGAAGAUGUAGCUGUGGCCCUACCCCGGGACAAAGUGCGGCUACGACGGAGUCGGUGGUCUCGAGCGGCGGCAGUAGCUGGCACGUACGAAGACGGGCCUGUGGACCGUCACGUCUGCCCGAGUGCAGGAGCUGACGGCCUUACCGGCGCAGAAUUGAUACGAGGAUCUGCCGGGAUCUAAGCUUGAACCUCACGUAUGGCGAGACACGUGUGACUGACUCUCUCCGUACUACUGGAAGGGUGGUAAAGGUUCCAUAUUGGCCGGCCUCCCGUCCAAGACGUAGACCGGCACAGAGUAGAGGUUUCUUGUUCCGCUACUGAACAGGAUGAAAAUACAAGACUAGCUCAGAAGGCUCCUCUGGUCAUUCCAAUGCCACGCUCAUAUAUACAACGUUGUACCAUAGACCACGUGUGUAGUAUGGAACCGGUGACUGGUCGGUAGAGAAGGCGAUACCCUGGGUUUUGAACACGACCAGCUGUCAUUUUAAAUAUAGUGCCAGCGGGGCUCUUUAUAUUACCAGAACCUAAACAGCCAGAGUUCAACGAGAUGAUAAACAGAGGGUGUUCCCCACCUCAUACCUCUAUCUCUGCGGUACAACAGCGCCCGUCUACUACGUAGAUCACAUAUAGAAUAAGUUCACUUCCUCGAAGUCGAAGUGUAGACCGAGGUGUUCCCCUUGUUGACCGACGACCACCUGUGGUAGAAAUACUCACUCUACCAACGAUUAAACUCCUACGUUCUAAUGUGACAACUCCUACUCGUAUAACUACAAGAAGCCUAUGACGUCCAGCCCCUGUUGCGGCUCAAACACAAGAAGGUCUACCCAGCUACGUAUGACAUAGAUCUAUAGUUCCCGUUCUGUAACGCAUUUCACAUACUCUACUUUCUAUUCCUAACCAUAAGCCAAAUAAUAUAAAAAGGAAAAUUCUACCAAACCGGAGGCUAUAAAGGACGUGACUUCGGCUUGGAAGUUCUUAGCGGUAGACUUCUUGUUAUAGUAGGUCGAGUCACUGUUCCUGGUAUUCUAACAGAAAAAGCACCUUGGUUCGGUGCUGACGCAUCAGCUCACGGACGGUUGGACGUUUAGGCUCUGUUUAGGCGGUUUCA
rnacentral:rRNA from 1 species